rnacentral:rRNA from 1 species
GACAGAGGUCCCGAGCGUUGUUCGGAUUCAUUUGGCGUAAAGGGUGUGUAGGAGGCUAGGUAAGUCAGGUGUGAAAUCUCAGAGCUUAACUCUGAAACUGCGCUUGAUACUGCUUGGCUAGAGGAUCGGAGGGGGUAACGGAAUUUAUGGUGUAGCAGUGAAAUGCGUAGAUAUCAAGAGGAACACCAGUGGCGAAGGCGAGUCCCUGGACAACACCUGACACUGAGGCACGAAAGCGUGGGGAGCAAACAGG